AGAGUUUGAUCAUGGCCCAGGACGAACGCUGGCGGCGUGCCUAAUACAUGCAAGUCGAGCGAGCGGAACUAACAGAUUUACUUCGGUAAUGACGUUAGGAAAGCGAGCGGCGGAUGGGUGAGUAACACGUGAGGAACCUGCCCCAUAGUCUGGGAUACCACUUGGAAACAGGUGCUAAUACCGGAUAAGAAAGCAGAUCGCAUGAUCAGCUUUUAAAAGGCGGCGUAAGCUGUCGCUAUGGGAUGGCCCCGCGGUGCAUUAGCUAGUUGGUAAGGUAAAGGCUUACCAAGGCGAUGAUGCAUAGCCGAGUUGAGAGACUGAUCGGCCACAUUGGGACUGAGACACGGCCCAAACUCCUACGGGAGGCAGCAGUAGGGAAUCUUCCACAAUGGACGCAAGUCUGAUGGAGCAACGCCGCGUGAGUGAAGAAGGUUUUCGGAUCGUAAAGCUCUGUUGUUGGUGAAGAAGGAUAGAGGUAGUAACUGGCCUUUAUUUGACGGUAAUCAACCAGAAAGUCACGGCUAACUACGUGCCAGCAGCCGCGGUAAUACGUAGGUGGCAAGCGUUGUCCGG
rnacentral:rRNA from 1 species